GUAAAGAGCUCGUAGGUGGUUUGUCGCGUCGUCUGUGAAAUCCCGGGCCUUAACUUCGGGCGUGCAGGCGAUACGGGCAUAACUUGAGUGCUGUAGGGGAGACUGGAAUUCCUGGUGUAGCGGUGAAAUGCGCAGAUAUCAGGAGGAACACCGAUGGCGAAGGCAGGUCUCUGGGCAGUAACUGACGCUGAGGAGCGAAAGCAUGGGUAGCGAACAGGAUUAGAUACCCUGGUAGUCCAUGCCGUAAACGGUGGGCGCUAGGUGUGAGUCCCUUCCACGGGGUUCGUGCCGUAGCUAACGCAUUAAGCGCCCCGCCUGGGGAGUACGGCCGCAAGGCUAAAACUCAAAGGAAUUGACGGGGGCCCGCACAAGCGGCGGAGCAUGUGGAUUAAUUCGAUGCAACGCGAAGAACCUUACCUGGGCUUGACAUGUACCAGAUCGCCAUAGAGAUAUGGUUUCCCUUGUGGCUGGUUCACAGGUGGUGCAUGGUUGUCGUCAGCUCGUGUCGUGAGAUGUUGGGUUAAGUCCCGCAACGAGCGCAACCCUUAUCUUAUGUUGCCAGCACGUCGUGGUGGGGACUCAUGAGAGACUGCCGGGGUCAACUCGGAGGAAGGUGGGGAUGACGUCAAAUCAUCAUGCCCCUUAUGUCCAGGGCUUCACACAUGCUACAAUGGUCGGUACAACGCGCAGCGAGACUGUGAGGUUAAGCGAAUCGCUGAAAGCCGGCCUUAGUUCGGAUUGGGGUCUGCAACUCGACCCCAUGAAGUCGGAGUCGCUAGUAA
rnacentral:rRNA from 1 species